CUACGGGGUGCUGCAGUGGGGAAUAUUGCACAAUGGGCGCAAGCCUGAUGCAGCCAUGCCGCGUGUAUGAAGAAGGCCUUCGGGUUGUAAAGUACUUUCAGCGGGGAGGAAGGGAGUAAAGUUAAUACCUUUGCUCAUUGACGUUACCCGCAGAAGAAGCACCGGCUAACUCCGUGCCAGCAGCCGCGGUAAUACGGAGGGUGCAAGCGUUAAUCGGAAUUACUGGGCGUAAAGCGCACGCAGGCGGUUUGUUAAGUCAGAUGUGAAAUCCCCGGGCUCAACCUGGGAACUGCAUCUGAUACUGGCAAGCUUGAGUCUCGUAGAGGGGGGUAGAAUUCCAGGUGUAGCGGUGAGAUGCGUAGAGAUCUGGAGGAAUACCGGUGGCGAAGGCGGCCCCCUGGACGAAGACUGACGCUCAGGUGCGAAAGCGUGGGGAGCAAACAGGAUUAGAUACCCUAGUAGUC
rnacentral:rRNA from 1 species